rnacentral:rRNA from 1 species
GUUAUACGGUCUCUAAGUUUGAAAUUGAAAAAUUUUGAUGAUGAGUUAUUUGUAAAUAUUCAAAUUAUUUAUUAAGUGAAGAUAAUUUUACAUAUGAGUUUAGUUUUUUGGUAUAUUAAGUGUAUAUGAAAAUUGUCCAAGAAAUAUUUAAUUUAAUGUAACCGUACUUAAACCGACACAGGUGAAUUGGUAGAGUAUACUAAAGCGAUUGGAAGAACAAUUUUGAAGGAACUCGGCAAAUUGAUUCCGUAACUUCGGGAGAAGGAAUACUCAUAUUAAAAGUUUUUUUUGUUUAAAUUUUUAUAAUAUGAAUGUACAGUGUAACAGAACAGGGGUAGCGACUGUUUAAUAAAAACACAGGACUUUGCAAAAUAUUAUUAUGAUGUAUAAGGUCUGACGCCUGCCCGGUGAUGAGUAAUGAAUAAAAGAAGUUAUUUUUGGCUUUAAUUAUAAGUCUCAUUAAACGGCGGCUGUAACCCUGACGGUCCUAAGGUAGCGAAAUUCCUUGUCAAUUAAGUAUUGACCCGCAUGAAUGGCGUAACGACUUCCCCACUGUCUCCAGAAUUGAUCCAGUGAAAUUGCAAUUUACGUGAAGAUGCGUAAUAUUUAUGGCGGGACGGAAAGACCCUGUGCACCUUUACUAUAACUUUAUAUUGAAGAAGAUAGUUUUAUAUAAAGAAUAACUGUGAGUUUAUGAUCCAUUAAUUUUAUAUUUUUUGGGAAGACGUCAGUGAGAUAACAGUUUUAAAAUUAUUAUUUUUCUAAUUUUAGAGAAGGACAGUGUAUGGUUGGUAGUUUGGCUGGGGCGGCAGCCUCCUAAAGAGUAACAGAGCGCACAAAGGUAAUUUCAAUUUAGUUUUUACUAUAUUAAUGAGUGUAAUGGCAUAAAAUUGCUUAACUGUUAGAUUUGCAAAUCGAACAGAGACUUAAUGUCGUCAUAGUGAUCCGGUGAUACAGUAUGGAAUGGUCAUCGAUUAACGGAUAAAAGGUACGCCAGGGAUAACAGGCUAAUUGUCCUUGAGAGCCAUAUCGACGGGAUAGUUUGGCACCUCGAUGUCGACUUAUCAGAUCCUGGUGUAGUAGGGGAUACCAAGGGUUCGGCUGUUCGCCGAUUAAAGUGGUACAUGAGUUGGGUUUAGAACGUCGUGAGACAGUUUGUCCCUAUCUACCAUAAAUGAGAGAAAAUUGUUUAAGGCUGACUUUCGUACGAGAGGAGCAAGAAGGGAAGACCUAUUGUGAAUCUGUUGUUUUAACCAAAAGCAUUGCAGAGUAGCUACGUCUUAAUUUUAGAACUACUGAAGUCAUAUUAAGUAGGAAAAUUAUUUUAAAAAAAUUUUCUAAAUCAAGUUAAAGAAUAUAACUUAAAUUAAUAUUUUUUUAUUAGGAUAAUAAAAUACAUAAUUUUUUUUUAUGUAUUUUAUUAUUUAUUUUU